GACGAACCGUCCAAACGUUGUUCGGAAUCACUGGGCUUAAAGGGCGCGUAGGCGGAUGCUCAAGUCGGUGGUGAAAUCUUUCGGCUCAACCGGAAAACAGCCGCCGAUACUGGGUAUCUCGAGGGAGGUAGGGGUCGAGGGAACUUCCGGUGGAGCGGUGAAAUGCGUAGAUAUCGGAAGGAACGCCGGUGGCGAAAGCGCUCGACUGGACCUCUUCUGACGCUGAGGCGCGAAAGCCAGGGGAGCAAACGGG
rnacentral:rRNA from 1 species